rnacentral:rRNA from 1 species
AUGCCUUCCUGGAACGACGAGGAAACCAGCUCGGAGGAGGAGUGCGAGGUUGUCAGCAUGGACAUGGGACUUAUGGAGGAACCAGACACCACUGUGGAGCCCCUUUUCUGUGGCCAACUUGAGCUUGCUCAUCCCAAGUGCAUUCUGCACCAACUGAGGCCUAUUAAGCGUGUUGCUUUUGAAGGGCCUGUAACAGGAAGGCGUUUCUAUGGCUGCCCAGUCCAGGAAAAUGGUGUGAAUUGUGGUGUUGUAGAGUGGGUUGAUGGGCCUUGGCCAACUUUUCUUCAGAGAUGUUUGUGCAAACUAUGGGAGAUGUUCCAUGAGCAGAACUUUGGAAGGGUACAGGACAAGCAGAAGUUUGAGAAGGAAUUGUCCAGGCUUAAGAGUGAACAUGAAAGGGAGUUGGCCAAGCUUAGGACUGAAAAUGACAAGCUUUGCAUUGAGUACACCAAGCUUGUUGAUGAUGUAUCCAAGAUGUUUGAUUGGCAGGAUGGUAGGGUGGACAAGAAGGUGUACCAGAAACAAGUGGAGGAGGAAGAACUUGAGAAGAAGAAGAAGGAGCUAGAGGAGAAAGCUAUGUUGGAGGUGCAGAUGGAAAAGCUCAAACUUGCAAAAGAGCAGAGGUGCAUUUUGCAGAGCCAAGCUGAUAUCAUCAAGAACACCAAGAAGGCUAUGAAGGCUGUUGAAGUUGACAGAGAUGUUCUUAAGAAGGAGAAGGCAAAGCUUGAGCUUGUUGUUGCUGAGCUGCUGAAAGAAGGGUAA